rnacentral:rRNA from 1 species
CCAAUAGCGUAUAUUAAAGUUGCUGCAGUUAAAAAGCUCGUAGAUGAAUUUCGGGAUCAAUAUGUUGGUCGUGCCUUGGUACGUACUAGCUUAUUGAUUUCUCCCUUCUGAUGAACCAUGAUGUCAUUAAUUUGGUGUCAUGGGGAAUUAGGACUGUUACUUUGAAAAAAUUAAAGUGUUUAAAGCAGGCUCACGCUUGA